rnacentral:rRNA from 1 species
GACGAACGCUGGCGGCGUGCUUAACACAUGCAAGUCGAACGAAGAGCGAUGGAAGCUUGCUUCUAUCAAUCUUAGUGGCGAACGGGUGAGUAACGCGUAAUCAACCUGCCCUUCAGAGGGGGACAACAGUUGGAAACGACUGCUAAUACCGCAUACGAUCUAAUCUUGGCAUCGAGGAUAGAUGAAAGGUGGCCUCUACAUGUAAGCUAUCACUGAAGGAGGGGAUUGCGUCUGAUUAGCUAGCUGGGAGGGGUAACGGCCCACCAAGGCGAUGAUCAGUAGCCGGUCUGAGAGGAUGAACGGCCACAUUGGGACUGAGACACGGCCCAGACUCCUACGGGAGGCAGCAGUGGGGAAUCUUCCGCAAUGGACGAAAGUCUGACGGAGCAACGCCGCGUGAGUGAUGACGGGCUUCGGGUUGUAAAGCUCUGUUAAUCGGGACGAAAGGCCUUCUUGCGAAUAGUGAGAAGGAUUUGACGUACCGGAAUAUAAACCC